GAGAAAGCUUGCUUUCUUGCUGACGAGUGGCGGACGGGUGAGUAAUGCUUGGGAAUCUGGCUUAUGGAGGGGGAUAACGACGGGAAACUGUCGCUAAUACCGCGUAGUGUCGAGAGACGAAAGUGCGGGACUGAGAGGCCGCAUGCCAUAGGAUGAGCCCAAGUGGGAUUAGGUAGUUGGUGGGGUAAAGGCCUACCAAGCCUGCGAUCUCUAGCUGGUCUGAGAGGAUGACCAGCCACACUGGAACUGAGACACGGUCCAGACUCCUACGGGAGGCAGCAGUGGGGAAUAUUGCGCAAUGGGGGGAACCCUGACGCAGCCAUGCCGCGUGAAUGAAGAAGGCCUUCGGGUUGUAAAGUUCUUUCGGUAUUGAGGAAGGUUGAUGUGUUAAUAGCACAUCAAAUUGACGUUAAAUACAGAAGAAGCACCGGCUAACUCCGUGCCAGCAGCCGCGGUAAUACGGAGGGUGCGAGCGUUAAUCGGAAUAACUGGGCGUAAAGGGCACGCAGGCGGUUAUUUAAGUGAGGUGUGAAAGCCCCGGGCUUAACCUGGGAAUUGCAUUUCAGACUGGGUAACUAGAGUACUUUAGGGAGGGGUAGAAUUCCACGUGUAGCGGUGAAAUGCGUAGAGAUGUGGAGGAAUACCGAAGGCGAAGGCAGCCCCUUGGGAAUGUACUGACGCUCAUGUGCGAAAGCGUGGGGAGCAAACAGGAUUAGAUACCCUGGUAGUCCACGCUGUAAACGCUGUCGAUUUGGGGGUUGGGGUUUAACUCUGGCGCC
rnacentral:rRNA from 1 species